UGGGGAAUAUUGCACAAUGGGGGAAACCCUGAUGCAGCAACGCCGCGUGAGUGAUGAAGUAUUUCGGUAUGUAAAGCUCUAUCAGCAGGGAAGAUGAUGACGGUACCUGACUAAGAAGCUCCGGCUAAAUACGUGCCAGCAGCCGCGGUAAUACGUAUGGAGCAAGCGUUAUCCGGAUUUACUGGGUGUAAAGGGUGCGUAGGCGGUCUGGCAAGUCAGAUGUGAAAUGCCGGGGCUCAACCCCGGAGCUGCAUUUGAAACUGCUGGACUGGAGUACAGGAGAGGCAGGCGGAAUUCCUAGUGUAGCGGUGAAAUGCGUAGAUAUUAGGAAGAACACCAGUGGCGAAGGCGGCCUGCUGGACUGUUACUGACGCUGAGGCACGAAAGCGUGGGGAGCAAACAGG
rnacentral:rRNA from 2 species